UACGUAGGGUGCGAGCGUUAAUCGGAAUUACUGGGCGUAAAGCGUGCGCAGGCGGUUUUGUAAGCCAGAUGUGAAAUCCCCGGGCUUAACCUGGGAAUGGCAUUUGGGACUGCAAGGCUUGAGUGCGGCAGAGGAGACUGGAAUUCCUGGUGUAGCAGUGAAAUGCGCAGAUAUCAGGAGGAACACCGGUGGCGAAGGCGGGUCUCUGGGCCGUAACUGACGCUGAGGAGCGAAAGCGUGGGGAGCGAACAGG
rnacentral:rRNA from 1 species